AACCGUCUUUAGCCAUUUAAAAAAUAUAUAUAAAAAAAAGGGUUGCGGCGGAA
rnacentral:sRNA from 1 species